GUGAUUAUACUUUUAUGAAUCUUUGUAUAGUGUCCCCUUAAGAAAUGUGGUUUGAAAAUCUUAGUUGUCUCUAAUCACAAUGAUGAGUUUGAUGCUCUCUUCUGAUCAUUGCUCAGGUUCUGGUUAUUGAUUCUUUAAUGAGCUUUAACCAUUGAUGAAUGUUUCCUACUUCUUAUGAAGUGUUGGUGGGAGAGAGAAUGAUCAGAGGGAU